ACACGUAAGGGGCAAGCGUUGUUCGGAAUUAUUGGGCGUAAAGGGCGCGUAGGCGGUUUUACAAGUCUGGUGUGAAAGACCUCAGCUUAACUGAGGGACCGCGCUGGAAACUGUAAGACUAGAAUCUAGGAGGGGAAGCUGGAAUUCCUGGUGUAGGGGUGAAAUCUGUAGAUAUCAGGAAGAACACCGGUGGCGAAGGCGAGCUUCUGGCCAUAGAUUGACGCUGAGGCGCGAAAGCGUGGGGAGCGAACAGGAUUAGAAACCCUAGUAGUCC
rnacentral:rRNA from 1 species